UACAGAGGGGGCAAGCGUUGUUCGGAAUUACUGGGCGUAAAGGGCGCGUAGGCGGCCCGCUAAGUCGAACGUGAAAUCCCCAGGCUCAACCUGGGAACUGCGUCCGAUACUGGCAGGCUUGAAUCCGGGAGAGGGAUGUGGAAUUCCAGGUGUAGCGGUGAAAUGCGUAGAUAUCUGGAGGAACACCGGUGGCGAAGGCGGCAUCCUGGACCGGUAUUGACGCUGAGGCGCGAAAGUGUGGGGAGCGAACAGG
rnacentral:rRNA from 1 species